rnacentral:lncRNA from 1 species
CUUUUCCUUUGCCUUCUGCCAUGAUUGUAAGUUUCCUGAGGCCUUCCCAGCGAUGUGGAACUGAAACCACACAUUCAAAAUAAUGCUAACCUGUCAAGUUAUUGAUCUGCACUGUACAUAUUUCCUGGUCAUAGGCAGCUUCCACACAAGAACAUCUGGAUGCAAAUUAAAGAAUUCAAUUACUCAAGCCUAAGUGAUAGAGGAGACCUCGGCUACUCUGCCUGAGCACAUCACUGCUGGAUCUCAAAAUCUGCAAGAACUUCCUAGGGCUUCAGGAACUUUCAUGUGCAUACCAGUCACCUGGGAAUCUUGUUACGAUGCAUAUUCUUUUUCAGUAAGCCCAAAUUCUGCAAUUCUUAUAAGGUCUUAGGGGACAUGAUGUUUGCUUCUAGUGGUCCAUGGUCUACUCCUGAAGGUCCACCAUGCCCAGCUUCAUCUCCCCACCCUCUGGAAACUCUCCUGUACCCAAGCCACUUGCUCUCUUCUAAAUAGGCAUUGUGUUCCCAUGUUCCCAUGUGUCUGCCUCUUUCAACUUCUCCUCUAAAAAUUCUCCAUGACCCCCAAGCAUAAGCCUCCAGCAGCAAGCUCAAAAAUGCUUUCUACUCUGUUGUGUUGCCCGGCCCACUUCAAGAGUAGAUGCUCAAUUCCUUCUUCCCCUAGUCGUAUUUGCUGCUACUUUUGCAGGCUGCUGGAACACUUUCACUCUGAGGAUUCUGAUGAACACAGUUCUUGCCCUCUUCACUUUUCCAAUCUGGUUGCAGGCACAGCGGGGGACAGCAGGAGUGCAACACAGUAACUUAAUAUAAUAUGGAGCUGCUAUUAUGGAGGGAAACAUUCACUGCUCUGAAAGGACUCAACAGCUGAGUCUUAAAGAAGGAUUUUACAAGAUUGACAAAGAAAUGGGUUAUCUCCAGAUAGGAAGGAAAAAUCACAAGGAAUAGUACAGCAAGGAAAGAGGAAACAGCACUGGACUUGGGGAAAAGGGAAAUCCUUGAGAUGUUGCUAAGGCAUAAAGAGCAAGACAGAGAGUGUCAGAAGAUGACACUGACGUCACCUGACUCCUGCUGCUGAGCUUCUCUGACAUUUUCUCAAGGGCUCAAGGCUUGGAUACCCUCUGAUAUGGUUUAUCUGUGUCCCCGCCCAAAUCUCACCUUGGUUUGUAAUCAUCUCCAUGUGUCAAGAAUGGGACCAGGUGGAGAUAAUUGAAUCAUGGGGGCAGUUUCCCACAUACUGUUCACAUGGUAGUAAAUAAGUCUCAUGAGCUCUGAUGGUUUUAUAAAUGGGAGUUCCCCUGCACAGGCUCUUUUUGCCUGCCACCAUGGAAGACACCCCUUUGCCCUUCCUUUAUUUUCUGCCACAAUUGUGAGGCCUCCCUAGCUAUGUGGAAUUGUGAGUGCAUUAAACCUCUUUCCUUUACAAAAU